rnacentral:rRNA from 1 species
UUGGGAAUCUUGGACAAUGGGGGAAACCCUGAUCCAGCCAUGCCGCGUGAGUGAUGAAGGCCUUCGGGUUGUAAAACUCUUUCGCGCACGACGAUAAUGACGGUAGUGCGAGAAGAAGCUCCGGCUAACUUCGUGCCAGCAGCCGCGGUAAUACGAAGGGGGCUAGCGUUGUUCGGAAUUACUGGGCGUAAAGCGCGCGCAGGCGGUCUUCCAAGUCAGUGGUGAAAGCCCGGAGCUCAACUCCGGAACUGCCAUUGAAACUGUUGGACUUGAGUAUGAGAGAGGUGAGUGGAAUUCCCAGUGUAGAGGUGAAAUUCGUAGAUAUUGGGAAGAACACCGGUGGCGAAGGCGGCUCACUGGCUCAUUACUGACGCUCAGGCGCGACAGCGUGGGGAUCAAACA